rnacentral:lncRNA from 1 species
GUCUGACCUUCCAUUAUGUGACUCAAGAAAAAAUUCCAAAAAAUGGGUAACAAUUGUAUCGAAAAGAGAAAAUCGAGUGCACCUUUUUAUGUUAGGGCGUGUUUGAGUUUAAUAUUUUGUCUUGAUAUCAUACAAAGCAAGAAUAUUUCAUACAUCGUCUCGCUUCAGAUUCUAUCAUUUUUAUAUAUCAAAGCUACAGGUUGACUCUAUAACAUAAAAAAAUCGCAGUACUAAAAGACGAAAUAUAUGGGUCAAGUGAAAUACCUAUCCAAUGAAUCACAAAAACAGAGUA